ACACGGAGGGUGCAAGCGUUAUUCGGAAUCACUGGGCGUAAAGGACGCGUAGGCGGGUUGGCAAGUCAGAUGUGAAAUCCUACAGCUUAACUGUAGAACUGCAUUUGAAACUGCUAACCUAGAGUAUGGGAGGGGGAGAUGGAAUUAGUGGUGUAGGGGUAAAAUCCGUAGAUAUCACUAGGAAUACCGAAAGCGAAGGCGAUCUCCUGGAACAUAACUGACGCUAAGGCGUGAAAGCGUGGGGAGCAAACAGGAUUAGAUACCCUAGUAGUCC
rnacentral:rRNA from 1 species